UUAUUGCCAAGACACCUCUUCAACCUGCAGGUAUUUUAAACUGCUUAGAGGCCCCAGAUGUGGUCAGCUGUCCUAAAAAGAUGACAUCCACCAGCCUGUGCACAGAACCCUGAGUUUGCAGGUCACAUCUAGGUCCCAUUACAGAGAGGAGUGAGCCCCUUUUCCUUGUCACAGCACUUGGGGACAUCAGUGUCCACGUCACCUUGAGGGGCAGGAGGAGCCCAGGUCUGCACACACCUGUUAGCCCUGCUCACCCCAGGAACAGCUCAUGGAGACACUGGGCUUGGGAGGAGAGUUGCCAGAUUGUCAGCCUUACACACCCAGAUUAGAAAAAUGAGCAAAUAAAGUGGCUUUAAAAUUUG